GAGAAGCGAAGCGGUGACGUGGAGCAAACCUCAGAAAGCCAAUCUCAGUUCGGAUUGUAGGCUGCAACUCGCCUACAUGAAGUUGGAAUCGCUAGUAAUCGCGAAUCAGAAUGUCGCGGUGAAUACGUUCCCGGGUCUUGUACACACCGCCCGUCACACCACGAGAGUUUACAACACCCGAAGUCAGUGGCCUAACCGCUAGGAGGGAGCUGCCUAAGGUGGGGUAGAUGAUGGGGGUGAAGUCGUAACAAGGUAGC
rnacentral:rRNA from 1 species